rnacentral:rRNA from 1 species
GACGAACGCUGGCGGCGUGCUUAACACAUGCAAGUCGAGCGAGGCUCCUCCUUCGGGAGGAUGCCCUAGCGGCGAACGGGUGAGUAACACGUGGGCAACCUGCCCCUAGCACUGGGAUAACCCCGGGAAACCGGGGCUAAUACCGGAUAUGACCUCGGAGAGCAUUCUCUGUGGUGGAAAGAUUUAUCGGCUAGGGAUGGGCCCGCGGCCUAUCAGCUUGUUGGUGGGGUAACGGCCUACCAAGGCGACGACGGGUAGCCGGCCUGAGAGGGCGACCGGCCACACUGGGACUGAGACACGGCCCAGACUCCUACGGGAGGCAGCAGUGGGGAAUAUUGCACAAUGGGCGCAAGCCUGAUGCAGCGACGCCGCGUGAGGGAUGACGGCCUUCGGGUUGUAAACCUCUUUCAGCAGGGACGAAGCGAAA